UACGUAGGGGGCAAGCGUUGUCCGGAAUCAUUGGGCGUAAAGAGCGUGUAGGCGGCUCGAUAAGUCUGCUGUGAAAGUCCAGGGCUCAACCCUGGAAGGCCGGUGGAAACUGUCGGGCUAGAGUCCGGAAGAGGCGAGUGGAAUUCCCGGUGUAGCGGUGAAAUGCGCAGAUAUCGGGAGGAACACCAAUGGCGAAGGCAGCUCGCUGGGACGGUACUGACGCUGAGACGCGAAAGCCAGGGGAGCAAACGGG
rnacentral:rRNA from 1 species